rnacentral:rRNA from 1 species
ACUCAAAGGAAUAGACGGGGGCCCGCACAAGCAGUGGAGUAUGUGGUUUAAUUCGAAGCAACGCGAAGAACCUUACCAGGUUUUGACAUCUGGCAAACUUGAUCGAAAGGUUAAGGUGCCCUUCGGGGAAUGCCAAGACAGGUGGUGCAUGGUUGUCGUCAGCUCGUGUCGUGAGAUGUUGGGUUAAGUCCCGCAACGAGCGCAACCCUUGCUAUCAAUUACUACGAAUAGAGAACUUUGAUGGGACUGCCGUUGAAAAAACGGAGGAAGGUGAGGAUGACGUCAAAUCAUCAUGCCCCUUAUAACCUGGGCUACACACGUACUACAAUGGCGUUUAACAAUGAGUCGCUAGUUAGCAAUAACAGGCUAACCUUUAAAAAACGCCUCAGUUCGGAUUGCAGGCUGAAACUCGCCUGAAUGAAGUAGGAAUUGCUAGUAAUCGCGGAUCAGCAUGCCGCGGUGAAUACGUUCCCGGGCCUUGUACACACCGCCCGU